AGAGUUUGAUCCUGGCUCAGGAUGAACGCUGCCGGCGCGCCUAAUACAUGCAAGUCGAACGAGGUGCUUUUGUAGCAAUACGAGAGUAUCCUAGUGGCGAACGGGUGAGUAACGCGUUGGUGACCUGCCCCAAAGUGUGGGAUAACAGUCCGAAAGGAUUGCUAAUACCGCAUGUGGUCAUUGGGUUUAGAAACGAAUGACUAAAGCAGUAAUGCGCUUUGGGAGGGACCUGCGUCCCAUCAGCUAGUUGGUGAGGUAAUGGCUCACCAAGGCGACGACGGGUAGGGGACCUGAGAGGGUGACCCCCCACAAUGGAACUGAAACACGGUCCAUACACCUACGGGUGGCAGCAGUAGGGAAUAUUGCUCAAUGGGCGAAAGCCUGAAGCAGCAACGCCGCGUGCGCGAUGAAGGUCUUCGGAUCGUAAAGCGCUUUUCUGCGAGAUGAGAAAGGACAGUAUCGUAGAAUAAGUCCUUCG
rnacentral:rRNA from 1 species